CACAUGCAAGUCGAGCGGGCACUUCGGUGUCAGCGGCAGACGGGUGAGUAACGCGUGGGAACGUGCCCUUCGGUUCGGAAUAACUCAGGGAAACUUGAGCUAAUACCGGAUACGUGCGAGAGCAGAAAGGUUUAUCUGCCGAAGGAUCGGCCCGCGUCUGAUUAGCUAGUUGGUGAGGUUAUGGCUCACCAAGGCGACGAUCAGUAGCUGGUCUGAGAGGAUGAUCAGCCACACUGGGACUGAGACACGGCCCAGACUCCUACGGGAGGCAGCAGUGGGGAAUAUUGGACAAUGGGGGCAACCCUGAUCCAGCCAUGCCGCGUGAGUGAUGACGGCCUUAGGGUUGUAAAGCUCUUUUCUCCGGGACGAUAAUGACGGUACCGGAGGAAUAAGCCCCGGCUAACUUCGUGCCAGCAGCCGCGGUAAUACGAAGGGGGCUAGCGUUGCUCGGAAUCACUGGGCGUAAAGGGCGCGUAGGCGGCUGAUUUAGUCGAGGGUGAAAGCCCGUGGCUCAACCACGGAAUGGCCUUCGAUACUGGUUGGCUUGAGACCGGAAGAGGACAGCGGAACUGCGAGUGUAGAGGUGAAAUUCGUAGAUAUUCGCAAGAACACCAGUGGCGAAGGCGGCUGUCU
rnacentral:rRNA from 1 species